CGUAACCCGCAAGGGGACUAGGCGGCCGAACGACGGUGAGAUUCAUGACUGGGGUG
rnacentral:rRNA from 1 species